CCUACGGGUGGCAGCAGUGAGGAAUAUUGGUCAAUGGCCGGAAGGCUGAACCAGCCAUGCCGCGUGAAGGUCAGUGCCCUAUGGGCGUUAAACUUCUUUUGUGCGGGAGCAAUAAUGGUCACGUGUGGCCAGACGAGAGUACCGUACGAAUAAGCAUCGGCUAACUCCGUGCCAGCAGCCGCGGUAAUACGGGGGAUGCAAGCGUUAUCCGGAGUUAUUUGGUUUAAAGGGUGCGUCAGCUGUGAGGUAAGUCAGAGGUGAAAUGCCCCCGCUCAACGGGGUGAAGUGCCAUUGAAACUACCUGGCUUGAAUGCGGAUGCCGUGGGAGGAAUGUGUGGUGUAGCGGUGAAAUGCAUAGAUAUCACACAGAACACCGAUUGCGAAGGCAUCUCACGAAUCCGCGAUUGACGCUGAUGCACGAAAGCGUGGGUAUCAAACAGGAUUAGAUACCCUUGUAGUC
rnacentral:rRNA from 1 species